rnacentral:rRNA from 1 species
AGUGGCGAACGGGUGAGUAACACGUGGGCAAUCUGCCCUUCACUCUGGGACAAGCCCUGGAAACGGGGUCUAAUACCGGAUAACACUCUGUCCCGCAUGGGACGGGGUUAAAAGCUCCGGCGGUGAAGGAUGAGCCCGCGGCCUAUCAGCUUGUUGGUGGGGUAAUGGCCUACCAAGGCGACGACGGGUAGCCGGCCUGAGAGGGCGACCGGCCACACUGGGACUGAGACACGGCCCAGACUCCUACGGGAGGCAGCAGUGGGGAAUAUUGCACAAUGGGCGAAAGCCUGAUGCAGCGACGCCGCGUGAGGGAUGACGGCCUUCGGGUUGUAAACCUCUUUCAGCAGGGAAGAAGCGAAAGUGACGGUACCUGCAGAAGAAGCGCCGGCUAACUACGUGCCAGCAGCCGCGGUAAUACGUAGGGCGCAAGCGUUGUCCGGAAUUAUUGGGCGUAAAGAGCUCGUAGGCGGCUUGUCACGUCGGAUGUGAAAGCCCGGGGCUUAACCCCGGGUCUGCAUUCGAUACGGGCUAGCUAGAGUGUGGUAGGGGAGAUCGGAAUUCCUGGUGUAGCGGUGAAAUGCGCAGAUAUCAGGAGGAACACCGGUGGCGAAGGCGGAUCUCUGGGCCAUUACUGACGCUGAGGAGCGAAAGCGUGGGGAGCGAACAGGAUUAGAUACCCUGGUAGUCCACGCCGUAAACGUUGGGAACUAGGUGUUGGCGACAUUCCACGUCGUCGGUGCCGCAGCUAACGCAUUAAGUUCCCCGCCUGGGGAGUACGGCCGCAAGGCUAAAACUCAAAGGAAUUGACCGG